rnacentral:rRNA from 1 species
AUUGAACGCUGGCGGCAGGCUUAACACAUGCAAGUCGAGCGGGGGGAGGUAGCUUGCUACCGGACCUAGCGGCGGACGGGUGAGUAAUGCUUAGGAAUCUGCCUAUUAGUGGGGGACAACAUCUCGAAAGGGAUGCUAAUACCGCAUACGUCCUACGGGAGAAAGCAGGGGAUCACUUGUGACCUUGCGCUAAUAGAUGAGCCUAAGUCGGAUUAGCUAGUUGGUGGGGUAAAGGCCUACCAAGGCGACGAUCUGUAGCGGGUCUGAGAGGAUGAUCCGCCACACUGGGACUGAGACACGGCCCAGACUCCUACGGGAGGCAGCAGUGGGGAAUAUUGGACAAUGGGGGGAACCCUGAUCCAGCCAUGCCGCGUGUGUGAAGAAGGCCUUAUGGUUGUAAAGCACUUUAAGCGAGGAGGAGGCUACUCUAGUUAAUACCUAGGGAUAGUGGACGUUACUCGCAGAAUAAGCACCGGCUAACUCUGUGCCAGCCGCCGCAGUAA